rnacentral:rRNA from 1 species
AUGAACGCUGGCGGCGUGCCUAAUACCUGCAAGUCGCGCGAACGGACGAGAAGCUUGCUUCUCUGAUGUUAGCGGCGGACGGGUGAGUAACACGUGGAUAACCUACCUAUAAGACUGGGAUAACUUCGGGAAACCGGAGCUAAUACCGGAUAAUAUUUUGAACCGCAUGGUUCAAAAGUGAAAGACGGUCUUGCUGUCACUUAUAGAUGGAUCCGCGCUGCAUUAGCUAGUUGGUAAGGUAACGGCUUACCAAGGCAACGAUGCAUAGCCGACCUGAGGGGGUGAUCGGCCACACUGGAACUGAGACACGGUCCAGACUCCUACGGGAGGCAGCAGUAGGGAAUCUUCCGCAAUGGGCGAAAGCCUGACGGAGCAACGCCGCGUGAGUGAUGAAGGUCUUCGGAUCGUAAAACUCUGUUAUUAGGGAAGAACAUAUGUGUAAGUAACUGUGCACAUCUUGACGGUACCUAAUCAGAAAGCCACGGCUAACUACGUG